rnacentral:rRNA from 1 species
UACGUAGGGACCGAGCGUUGUCCGGAAUCAUUGGGCGUAAAGAGCGUGUAGGCGGCCACUUAAGUCCUGCGUGAAAUCUUGCGGCUCAACCGCAAGCGGUCGUGGGAAACUGGGUGGCUAGAGUGCGGGAGAGGAGAGUGGAAUUCCUGGUGUAGCGGUGGAAUGCGCAGGUAUCAGGAAGAACACCCGUGGCGAAGGCGGCUCUCUGGAACGCAACUGACGCUGAGACGCGAAAGCGUGGGGAGCAAACAGG